UCCCUGGUGGUCCAGUGGCUAAGGCUCUGGGCUCCCAGUGAAGGGGGCCCAGGUUCAAUCCCUGGUCAGGGAA
rnacentral:tRNA from 1 species